GAGGCGCUAGUCUAACCAAGACAACU
rnacentral:tRNA from 1 species